GCGAGCGUUAAUCGGAAUUACUGGGCGUAAAGCGCACGCAGGCGGUUUGUCAGGUCGGAUGUGAAAGCCCGGGGCUCAACCCCGGAACUGCAUUCGAAACCGGCAGACUUGAGUUCGAGAGAGGGUGGUGGAAUUCCUGGUGUAGAGGUGAAAUUCGUUGAUAUCAGGAGGAACACCGGUGGCGAAGGCGACCACCUGGCUCGAUACUGACGCUCAUGUGCGAAAGCGUGGGGAGCAAACAGGAUUAGAUACCCUGGUAGUCCACACCGUAAACGCUGUCUACUAGCUGUUUGUGGAUAUUAUCCGUGAGUAGCGAAGCUAACGCGCUAAGUAGACCGCCUGGGGAGUACGGCCGCAAGGUUAA
rnacentral:rRNA from 1 species